rnacentral:rRNA from 1 species
AAUACAUGCAAGUCGAGCGGACAGAAGGGAGCUUGCUCCCGGACGUUAGCGGCAGACGGGUGAGUAACACGUAGGUAACCUGCCCCUUAGACUGGGAUAACUCCGGGAAACCGGAGCUAAUACGGGAUAAUAAAGAGAAUCACCUGAUUCUCUUUUGAAAGACGGUUUCGGCUGUCACUAAGGGAUGGGCCUGCGGCGCAUUAGCUAGUUGGUAAGGUAACGGCUUACCAAGGCGACGAUGCGUAGCCGACCUGAGAGGGUGAUCGGCCACACUGGGACUGAGACACGGCCCAGACUCCUACGGGAGGCAGCAGUAGGGAAUCUUCCGCAAUGGACGAAAGUCUGACGGAGCAACGCCGCGUGAGUGAGGAAGGCCUUCGGGUCGUAAAGCUCUGUUGUGAGGGAAGAACAAGUACCGGGGUAACUACCGGUACCUUGACGGUACCUCACCAGAAAGCCACGGCUAACUACGUGCCAGCAGCCGCGGUAAUACGUAGGUGGCAAGCGUUGUCCGGAAUUAUUGGGCGUAAAGCGCGCGCAGGCGGCUUCUUAAGUCUGAUGUGAAAUCUCGGGGCUCAACCCCGAGCGGCCAUUGGAAACUGGGAAGCUUGAGUGCAGAAGAGGAGAGUGGAAUUCCACGUGUAGCGGUGAAAUGCGUAGAUAUGUGGAGGAACACCAGUGGCGAAGGCGACUCUCUGGUCUGUAACUGACGCUUGAGGCGCGAAA